ensembl:lncRNA
AUGAUGAGAUAUUGCCUUCAAUGCCUGUUGUUUCUGCAUAUCAGCCUUCCUUUCAAUACACCCCCUACAUAUUUGCCUUUUUUACUCCUACCCUUCAGGUUGCUGUUUUUACUGGCUUUGGUUUUCUCUUAUUUCCCUGAAUUCCAGGUGGGGGAGGAAGCUAUUGUUUUCGAACAUCCUGGUCCUGCUCCUCAUUUAUUAAUCACUAAUUCCAACUUGGCAGAAAGUAUAGACCAAAAGGUGCACGAGUCAAGUAUGUCACAUGCUUUUCCUGUCCAGGUAUUCCGGUGGUGCAACUACCCGGGGAGCGGGCCAACCCUGUCAUUUAGCAGUAAAUUUAUCCUGUGUUGGGAUAGAGAAACUGUGGGGAUAAAGGCAGCAGACCUAUCCCAUGACUAGGCUGGCGGAGGGGGGUGGAAAGCCUACCCCACAGCUGGGACAGGCCAGUCUCAGGUUCAGCCUGCUGUGAUGGAGCAGAUAAUAUGCCUCCAGAGGAACCAUCUGGAAAACUGAGCCACCACUCUCCUGUUGCUGCCCCAACGUAAAUUCUCAUGCACCUGUCUGCGUACCAGACGUCUUUCUCUCUGUUUUUUUUUCCUCUCAAUAAUGGGGCAUGUUGUCACAAUUAUUGCCAGUAAUAAACUCAGCUGAAUUUAAUAAACUCA